rnacentral:miRNA from 1 species
AACGACGGAUAGAAGAAGAAGA